rnacentral:rRNA from 1 species
AUUGAACGCUGGCGGCAUGCCUUACACAUGCAAGUCGAACGGCAGCGGGCCUUCGGGUGCCGGCGAGUGGCGAACGGGUGAGUAAUGCAUCGGAACGUGCCAUUGAGUGGGGGAUAACGUAGCGAAAGUUGCGCUAAUACCGCAUAUUCUGUGAGCAGGAAAGCAGGGGGACCGCAAGGCCUUGCGCUCUUUGAGCGGCCGAUGUCAGAUUAGCUAGUUGGUGAGGUAAAGGCUUACCAAGGCGACGAUCUGUAGCGGGUCUGAGAGGAUGAUCCGCCACACUGGAACUGAGACACGGUCCAGACUCCUACGGGAGGCAGCAGUGGGGAAUUUUGGACAAUGGGGGCGAACCCUGAUCCAGCCAUGCCGCGUGAGUGAAGAAA